rnacentral:rRNA from 1 species
AUUGAACGCUGGCGGCAUGCCUUACACAUGCAAGUCGAACGGCAGCACGGACUUCGGUCUGGUGGCGAGUGGCGAACGGGUGAGUAAUACAUCGGAACGUGCCUAGUAGUGGGGGAUAACUACUCGAAAGAGUGGCUAAUACCGCAUGAGAUCUACGGAUGAAAGCAGGGGAUCGCAAGACCUUGUGCUACUAGAGCGGCUGAUGGCAGAUUAGGUAGUUGGUGGGAUAAAAGCUUACCAAGCCGACGAUCUGUAACUGGUCUGAGAGGACGAUCAGCCACACUGGGACUGAGACACGGCCCAGACUCCUACGGGAGGCAGCAGUGGGGAAUUUUGGACAAUGGGCGCAAGCCUGAUCCAGCAAUGCCGCGUGCAGGAUGAAGGCCUUCGGGUUGUAAAGCUCUUUCGGCCGGGAAGAAAUCGCACGGGCUAAUACCCUGUGUGGAUGACGGUACCGGAAUAAGAAGCACCGGCUAACUACGUGCCAGCCGCCGCCGUAACAC